AUAUGAAAUUCACCUUGAAAUCCAACUCUGAGCACACAGCAAAUCACUCAGUAAUAAAAUGCUCUCUGAGUUCAAUGGCUGUGAUGUUUCAGAGAAACUCACUUCUGUGCUUUUCUCUCACACGACCACUUCCUCUGUUCUCCAUCCUCCUCAGACUACCAGAAUGUUCAUGUCCCGCUCUCUGUAGUUCUUGGUUAGCUAGCUGUGACACUGAUCUCAGACUCUGACAUUCCACUCCACUCUGUCCAUUUCUCUCUCUGUCAGUCAGCUAUGUCUAACAUCGUCGUGGAAACUCUACUGUACUGGGACCUGGUGUCUGUGGUCAUCAUGCUGUUCCUUGUCUCUACAGAAUCAGCAGUUGACUCAACAAAAUAUCAGAAAAAUAAAUCAGCUUCUUUGGGAGAAAUUGUUACUUUGGUUUGCAAUAACUCAGAGACAAAUGCAACAUACAUCUGGAAGAAGGACACAGUUCUUAUUUUCUCUCAUAGCGGCACAAAGAAUAAAUCUGAAAGAAAAUUCACCUCUGACAGGAUGAGUGUUAAUAAUAAUCCACCUACAAAGCUGACUAUCUUUAAUGUAGAGUUAAAUGACACCGGGAGCUACAGCUGUCAAAUAAGAGACGAUCAAAGAGGUGUACGGACAAUGGAGUGGAAUUUGACCAUCACUAAUAACCUCACAGAUCAUGCUGAAUAUAACCUAUGGAGGUUAUUGCUCUUCACAAUUCCAUCUGCUAUUGGAGGAGUGGUUCUCUGCAUUAACAUCUGUUGUAUGGUCUGGCUGUGUAGGAAACGAAAACAGGAACAGACAAGUCAUUGUGAUAAGCGCAAAGAGAAGAGCAAUGCCCAGUCUGAUGGUCACACUGCCAGAAGAGAACAACACCAGUGGAGUCAGUACUUAGAAAGACUCAACUCAGUCUAUGGACUGUAGUAAUCACACAGCAGUUACUUAACAUGCCAAAAAAGAGUCAAGUAUCAUAGAUGGGUUAGCUGACAAGGUCACGACAACAAAGCGCAUGCUUCAAUAAGGAAGAUGUCCAUGUGUAGUUGUGAUUCUGGAUGACCAGAUAACUAGCAACAUUGACAAGAAGCUGCCGGAAUCUUAGGUGUUUCGUUUCAGCUUGUUGUGUCUAGUUAGUGAUACUGUGAUGGAACAUUUUCUGUUUGUGUUUUUCUAAUAACCAACUUCUGUGCUCAUGCAAGUGACUGAUUGAACAUGCAGAGGAGGAACCUCACUAUCAGUAUGCAAUUUGGCAGUACACCCAGAACCGUGUUUUGAGAACUAAAGGGAUAUCUUAGUUUCAAGGUCUCAGCUUGGAAAGAGGAAGCCUCUUAAGGUAUUGGUCAGUCACAUGCAUGAACCAAACGUUAAUGAUGAAUUAAUGAUGAAUAAUGAAUAAGCCAAACCAUGCAAAUAUAACUUGUCUGUGUGAGCAGUAUAUAAGAGAACUAUCGGGACUGGCCCGGUGAAGCUCACUUCAGACCGACACUUUAUGCAUCUAAGUUUGACUGGGAUGUCUUCAGCGUGCUGUAAAUAAACAAUGCUUCAUAUAAGAUUGACUUCAAGUGUCCCUGUGUAGAAUUUCCAUGACAAUGCCAUAUCUUGUUUUGAAGUGUUUUGACUGAUGUCACAUCUAGCUAAUAUGGCAAAAAUGUGCUAGCUAGCUAAACAACAACUGUAACAGCGUAUUUGAGAGACAACAAGUGUCAGACAUAGGUGUAUAGGUGGCAGGGAAGUCAGUCGCAGGAGAGUCAAAAGGAGUGUAAAAUGGAGUCUUUUAAUAAGGUCCACGUAGUAUGCUCCAUCACACAAAAAUGUACACAUACAAACAAACAUGGGUACGAGGACCCGACGCGCACCUAUACAACAAGCAACUACACUGACAAUAGAACAAUCUUUGACAAAGACAUGAGGGGAAACAGAGGGUUAAAUACACGACAGGUAAUGAAUUGGAUUGAAAACAGGUGUGUGGGAAGACAAGACAAAACCAAUGGAAAAUGAAAAAAGCAUCAAUGAUGGCUAGAAGACCGGUGACGUCGAACGCCGAGCACUGCCCGAACAAAGAGAGGCAACGACUUCGGCAGAAGUCGUGACAACAAGUGCUCAAUGUGCAAAUGUAUUUGUGUUUCCAAUGGUAACACUUUACUUGACACCCAGCGACAUACCACGCUAUGACACCCUCAUAACCAUGUCAUAACAUGUCAUAACAACUGAAAUAACGUGUCAUAUCCUGUCAUUAUAUGGGCAUAACACUGUCAUGACCCAUAUAUGUACACCUGUUGUGACACAUAUUGCAUUAUCUUAUGGCUGGUUGGUUAUGACACCUACGUAAGAGUGUCAAAACCCACAUUUUUUCAAAUGUAUUUUUACCUGCCAAGAAGUUUCCUUUCGUUUUAAAGGUUAUUCUUGUCCUUUGUUGUUGUUGUAAAUAAUAAUUUACACUCAUGUUUUUUUUCAUCAUAUUUUAAAUCAUUUGCAAAAAAUACACUUCAAGACGCUGUCAUGAAGCAUUAUGACCAUCCUGUGUCACUUUACUUGGACUAAGAAAAUAGACUUUAUGACACUGUCAAGAAGCAUUAUGACCAUCAGAAUCAUAUAAGCCAGAUAGGCCUAUCAUGUACGGAACAAAAAUAUAAACGCAACAUGUAAAAUGUUGGUCCCAUGUUUCAUGAGCUGA